rfam:Agrilus planipennis Contig13363, whole genome shotgun sequence.
GAUUACUGUUCGCAAAUAGUUAAGGAUGUGGGUUGUUCUGGUUUUAGCGUCUGAAGAGGACCCUAGUUGGUCCUAAAACGGCCUGAGGUACAGGGGUUUUAGUCGGUAGGUCCGAGGACUUCUUCCUCGGGAAUCCGACACUACCCAGUCGUACGGACGGCUGGGUGUCUUUUGAAGAUUUCCCCUCUUCCACGAAA